GAAUGGGUUAUUGUUUAUAAAUUGCUAGGUAUCCCAUAAAGCCACCACCGAAAACCACAUAUUUUCAUCUUCCUCUGAAGACGAUGCAAAGUUUUUUUUAAAUCUAAGUAUGCAGCGUCCAUCUAACAACGGAGCGGUCAACAGCAAGGGGGCGUUGUGUUUCCAAUCUGUUGUGGACAUCCAUUGAAAUGCAGUACAUCUGGCGCAAUGUAACAGAGUGCUUAUGGGCUGCAAUCCACUCCCAGUUAAGCGGGGUCCGGUCAGGCCUCCGUCAGCUCCAAAAUGCCCUGGGGGAUGUGAUGGACAUCCAGAACUUUCUUUCUGGUAGAAGUCAGCAAUAACUGGAGGCAAAACAUUAACACCAUUGAGAACCUGAAUGCCUGAGUUGGUGGCAGGACACUCCAUUAAUGAUAGAGCAAGCCGAGCUGUUGAAGGGCCACCACAAGCUGAUGAACCUGGAGUGCUCAUGGAAUGACUUCAUGUACGAUCAGUACAGGAUGGGCAGCAAGAACACACACAACAUGAACCUCAAUCCAACAAGAUUGUGUCCCUCCUCACCUGGGUCCUCAAUUAAAGGGAAACUUCACUGCUAGCCACUAUCUCCCUACAUCAUUUUAAGUGAUGAGAGGGUGUUCCUGACAUAAUUAUGCAGCAUAGAGGUAUUUUUGAAUUUUCGCAACGGCCUUUGUGUUACGCCGAUUGUACAAUCACACUAGCAGUGAGUAGAUAUGGUUGUCCUUGUUCAAUAGAGCCAUUGGACUUGUCUCAACGAUGUUCCUAUCUGACACAACAUUGCAGGAUAUCUAGGUUGACUCAUGUUCUCUGGCUUUUUUUAAUGUUCUUUUACAUACUAACAUAGGGACAUACUGCCCUAUUAAUUUGAGCCGAAAUACAGUGAAGAGGAGUUGAGACGGCGAGAACAAGAAUUGCGAGGCCAGCAAGCAGCGAUGGGGAGCCACGGGCAGACUUUGACCAGCGGUGCCUAUGUGGGUGCUGUCCAGCCACGCCGACAGAAGAGAAAUGUCUGUGCUGCAACUAAUUAGAUUGUGGACGGUUCAUACUGGAGAUGGUCACUGCAGACCCCAUGGAUUGUGUGUCUGAUACAGACCAUCAAAGUUUUGACGCAGAUAUGGAUAGAAGUGUGCUGGAGACAUUUUUCAGAACCUCCAAGAUCAAAUGGCGGCGGCAGCCUAGACCAGCGGGGUAGUACGUUGUUUUGCUGUUGGUAGCUACUAGCUAGCUAGUAAUAUAAGCUCUCUUUUCACAUGAGGCAGUGUUGUUCAGUACAGUAUAAUUUUGUGAUUGAUUCGGCCAUAUCGGGGCUUGCUAGUACCACUACAAGUUGAACUAGCUAGCUUUGUUUGCUAUACCCAAAAUGUCCCGUAGCCUAAUGUUAUCAUUAUCUAGCUAUUGUAAGCUAGCUAGCAAUGCUAGCCUCAGUGCAUCUUAUUAGUAGCAAAAAUGGAUAAAUGUUUUGAUGAUGAUGACGAAGAGUAAAGAAAUGACUUUGGAUUUAUGACUCAUAUUGGUCUACCUGUGUGUCUGUGAGAUUUGUAAUAUUCUGCAUCAUGAUGCUACAGUAGGAAUACAGACAGUACACAAUGAUUGGCCAUUAAAGUCUAAUAGUGUUUUGUCAUUCUCUUACAGACAAUACUGCUUGGUGAAAGAUUAUAUUUGGAGAUGGUUAUCGGUGUCGGAGAAGCUAGGCACAGAACACUGAAUUCCCUGAAAACAUUUCCGGCACCUACUUCAGUCCAAGUCAAGCACUGGUCUAACUGAAUGUGGAUGUUGUGUUGCCUGAAUGUUCCAGGCACAAUCCAGAAUGUUCUUCUGCUGGUGAACCUUGUCUUGUGUUGUGCAAUGGCAGCUGGUCUGGCAGAAGUUCAUGAGCUCAAUGACCUUGGACUCAUCGACUCAUAGAUUUCGGCUCUUGCCAGCCCCAUGCAGUCUUUUCCUCUUCCGAGUCAGAUGAUGUUGAGCUUGAGUUUUUUCCCGGAUUAAAGAUUUCAUCCAAUGGGUCUACAGGAUCUGUACUUCUAAAGCAGCAGCACCAGGAUUAGUCUGUAGGACAUACACUAGUCAGUGAUUAGGCAACAUUUUACUACUUUGUCCCCAUGAAUACACACUCUGACAAGGUACUACAUCCACUCUUCACCCUUGUGUCAAUAGAUCAUGCAUACUAACCUUCACACACAAUACCCACUCCCAACAGACACCAGUCACCCACACCAUCCCCUCUUCACCAAGAACUAAGCUUUUCUCUGAUUUACACUUCAAGCUUUGCAUAAACAAUCAAUUAAUGCUGCAAUAUGUAACUUUUUGGGCGACUCAGCAAAUUCACAAAACAUUUUUUAACUAGGAAAGUCGGUUAUUAAGAACAAAAUCUCAUUUGUAAUGACGGCCAACAGUGGCCUUGUUCAGGGGUAGAAGGACAGAUUUUUAUCUUGUCAACUUGGGGAUUCGAUCCAGCAACCUAUC